UAUUUAGUUAAAUAAAUAAUUUUUAUAAGUUAUAAAUAAUAAAAGGUAAAAUUUAAUUGUUAUUUUAUAUUAAAUUAAAUAAUUAAAAUUGAAGCUAAAAAAAUUUGAUUAUAAACUAGGAUUAGAUACCCUAUUAUUUUAAAAGUAAAUAUAAAACUAAAUUAGUAUUAGCUAUAAACUUUAAAAUUAAAAAAUUUGGCGGUAAUUUAAUCUGUUUAGAGGAAUUUGUUUUUUAAUCGAUAAUCCACGAAAAAUCUUACUUAUUUUUGUUUAUAAAUAUAUAAUAAAUAGUUUGUAUACCAUCAUUAUAAGAUAAUUUUUAAAAAAAAAAUUAUUAAAUAUAAAUAAUUAUCAAAAUUAGAUCAUGGUGCAGCUUAUAAAUAAGGUAAAAUGAAUUACAAUAAAUUAUUUUAUAACGGAAUAGUAAAGUAAAUUUUAUUAUAAAGGAGGAUUUAAUAGUAUUAUAAUUUUAAUAAGUUUAUAAGAAAAUAGCUCUAAAUUAUGUACAUAUCGCCCGUCGCUUU
rnacentral:rRNA from 1 species